rnacentral:rRNA from 1 species
UACGUAGGGUGCAAGCGUUGUCCGGAAUUAUUGGGCGUAAAGAGCUCGUAGGCGGCUUGUCGCGUCGGCUGUGAAAACCUGGGGCUCAACCCCGGGCCUGCAGCCGAUACGGGCAAGCUAGAAUGCGGUAGGGGAGACUGGAAUUCCUGGUGUAGCGGUGAAAUGCGCAGAUAUCAGGAGGAACACCGGUGGCGAAGGCGGGUCUCUGGGCCGAUACUGACGCUGAGGAGCGAAAGCGUGGGGAGCGAACAGG